CUGGGGAGAUCCUCCCAUUCAGAGGAUCAUCUCACAGAGGCCUUUGAUGUGCAUUGUGGGUGUGAGAUUUGGAGACGGAAAUGAUAAAAUC
rnacentral:lncRNA from 1 species